AUUGCAUUACUUUUUGUUGUAGAUAAAACUGCUUAGAGUUCAGCGUUCUGUUUGAAAUAGUCCUAUGGACGUCGGCUGCAUUUUGCCACCAAGCACCAACUGCAGUGUUGGGAAUGGUCUAUCUGUAUACCAGACAAAGAUACAUCAAAGGCUACAUUGAGGCUGCAGAGAAAAGGGUACCCCCGUUCUGGUUGAGCAUCCGGGCCCUACAGGGCUUGUCAGUGCUCAGUAUUGCGGGGCUGAUCAACGCGGUGCUCCGGGAGUACGCGGGGGUCAACCUGGUUGCCAUGGCGAGGGAGCGCAUCUUUUGAUUUUAAUAAAUAGUAAAUAAAAUACA